CCCCCUAGGUAACGGCGAGUGAAGCGGCAACAGCUCAAAUUUGAAAUCUGGCUCUUUCAGAGUCCGAGUUGUAAUUUGCAGAGGGCGCUUUGGCUUUGGCAGCGGUCCAAGUUCCUUGGAACAGGACGUCACAGAGGGUGAGAAUCCCGUACGUGGUCGCUAGCUAUUGCCGUGUAAAGCCCCUUCGACGAGUCGAGUUGUUUGGGAAUGCAGCUCUAAAUGGGAGGUAAAUUUCUUCUAAAGCUAAAUAUUGGCCAGAGACCGAUAGCGCACAAGUAGAGUGAUCGAAAGAUGAAAAGCACUUUGGAAAGAGAGUCAAACAGCACGUGAAAUUGUUGAAAGGGAAGCGCUUGCAGCCAGACUUGCUUGCAGUUGCUCAUCCGGGCUUUUGCCCGGUGCACUCUUCUGCAGGCAGGCCAGCAUCAGUUUGGGCGGUGGGAUAAAGGUCUCUGUCAUGUACCUCUCUUCGGGGAGGCCUUAUAGGGGAGGCGACAUACCACCAGCCUAGACUGAGGUCCGCGCAUCUGCUAGGAUGCUGGCGUAAUGGCUGUAAGCGGCCCGUCUUGAAACACGGACCAAGGAGUCUAACAUCUAUGCGAGUGUUUGGGUGUCAAGCCCGAGCGCGUAAUGAAAGUGAACGGAGGUGGGAACCCGCAAGGGUGCACCAUCGACCGAUCCUGAAGUUUACGGAAGGAUUUGAGUAAGAGCAUGGCUGUUGGGACCCGAAAGAUGGUGAACUAUGCUUGAAUAGGGUGAAGCCAGAGGAAACUCUGGUGGAGGCUCGCAGCGGUUCUGACGUGCAAAUCGAUCGUCAAAUUUGGGCAUAGGGGCGAAAGACUAAUCGAACUAUCUAGUAGCUGGUUCCUGCCGAAGUUUCCCUCAGGAUAGCAGUAACGUAUUCAGUUUUAUGAGGUAAAGCGAAUGAUUAGAGGGCAUGGGGGUUGAAC
rnacentral:rRNA from 1 species